rnacentral:rRNA from 1 species
UACGGAGGGUGCGAGCGUUAAUCGGAAUUACUGGGCGUAAAGGGUGCGUAGGUGGUUUGAUAAGUUAACUGUGAAAUCCCCGGGCUUAACCUGGGAAGGUCAGUUAAGACUGUUAGACUCGAGUAUGGGAGAGGGUAGUGGAAUUUCCGGUGUAGCGGUGAAAUGCGUAGAGAUCGGAAGGAACACCAGUGGCGAAGGCGGCUACCUGGCCUAAUACUGACACUGAGGCACGAAAGCGUGGGGAGCAAACAGG